AUUGAACGCUGGCGGCAGGCUUAACACAUGCAAGUAGAGCGAGAGGCGGACGGGUGAGUACUGUCUGGGAAACUGCCUGAGGGAGGGGGAUAACUACUGGAAACGGUAGCUAAUACCGCAUACCAUCAGAUGUGCCCUGACGGGAGUAGCUAGUAGGUGGGGUAAUGGAUCACCUAGGCGACGAGCCCUAGCUGGUCUGAGAGGAUGACCAGCCACACUGGAACUGAGACACGGUCCAGACUCUGACGGGAGGCAGCAGUGGGGAAUAUUGCACAAUGGGCGCAAGCCUGAUGCAGCCAUGCCGCGUGUGUGAAGAAGGCCUUCGGGUUGUAAAGCACUUUCAGCGAGGAGGCGUUACUCGCAGAAGAAGCACCGGCUAACUCCGUGCCAGCAGCCGCGGUAAUAC
rnacentral:rRNA from 1 species